GACGAACCGUGCGAACGUUGUUCGGAAUCACUGGGCUUAAAGGGCGCGUAGGCGGGCUGCCAAGUUCGGGGUGAAAUCCUCCCGCUUAACGGGAGAACGGCCUCGAAUACUGGCGGUCUCGAGGGAGGUAGGGGCGUGCGGAACUAUGGGUGGAGCGGUGAAAUGCGUUGAUAUCCAUAGGAACUCCGGUGGCGAAGGCGGCACGCUGGACCUCUUCUGACGCUGAGGCGCGAAAGCCAGGGGAGCAAACGGG
rnacentral:rRNA from 1 species